CGGGUCUGAUUUAAUACUUCACGGCAAAACAAUCACUGGAAAAAAUGGGAUCUGCAAUGGCAAGCUCUUCCUUUGAAGAGCUUAGACAGGAACGAUUGUAAGGUCCUAAAAAAUUUAAUUAGAUGCAUCUGAAUUAAUGCUUCCUGGAUCUCCGGUAGGUGAAGUGAUUGAUGAAGGGGUAGUAGCGUCCUGCCAGCUGCCAUUAGCCUGAAGAGGGAAUAAAGAUAUUAGCAGACAUGAUUUCAGAGGCAGAUACAUGGCACACGAACAGAAGACCAAAGACUGAACAUUUUCUUUUGUUGCAUACGUAACUGGAAUGCAGAACCAAAUGAAAAGCUGAAGCUACAAAGUAGCAUUAUUAAAAACAUUACAGUAAAAUGCCAUCUUCGAAAAUUACAUAUAAUUACCAGUAGUCUCUUCAGAAUAUUUUAAGGUCAGUGCCAUUUCUCAUAUAGCCAUAUACAUUCCACACAUCUGUAAUAAAAUUCCCUCAAACUGAGCUCAAGCCCUGAUGACUACAUGGGCACAUCAAUGUAUUUUCUUAGCAACAAUAUGGAAGUGGU